UGCCCUCUUCCUGUUGUUUCCUGGGUCCGUUCAAAGGCAGCUGACCAAAACACAGCAUCCACAGGAAACGAAGGAGCACACAAUCCCAGGGACGCCACUCCCUGCGGCCAGCGCCGUCACAGCUACCAAGCCCUGUCAGGUCUCGCUGGACCUUGUCCAACCCUCUCUUCACCUGCCGGGCCUGGCCCUGACCCGCCAAGGAAGGGCACGUUGGGGUUCAUGGAGAGCCACGCACGCCCCCAGGCGCGACUCCCUAUCUCCACACCGGUGGUGCGUUUUCUCAGCGCCCCAGGGAAGCUGCGGGGGCCGGCUUCCAUGCGGCAGGGGGCCCCACAGCAGGGUGGGAGCAGACCCGAGUCAUAGAUUCGUGCUUCUCCAAGGAGAGGCCAGCGGCGUUGACAUCACCUGGAAGCCGGUGAGACAUGCAGGGUCUAGGGCCACCCCGAACCUCUGAAUCAGUCUGCAUUUUCAGGGGACUCUCCAGGCACCUUGUGAAAGCUUAUUUUUCCGAUUCGGGAGGCACCCGCCCGUCAUCACUCAUUGCUCCAAAAAGCAUUUCUAAGACGUCUUCCGUGUUCAGGUACCAUGAUGGGAACAGAUUUCCACACUGCCUGGCGUCCCACUCGGUUGGGCAGCUUUCAGAAAAACCCAGUCAAUUCUACGGACCAAAUGCCAUCCCGAUCCUGAUAACCCAGAGCCCUUGCAUUUGGGCUGCCGUGUUGUGCCAGUGGACCGACAUGGCAAGGAACCCACGUCUCUGGCCACAGCCACCCGCAGACAGGCGAGGGAGCUUGGGGGCCGUGUUGGUUUCUCGCAGUUAUGGUAACAAAUUGCCACAAACUCGGUGGCUUAAAACAACAGACACUUACUCUCCUAGUUUUGAAGUCAGAAGCCCAAGGUCAGUUUCCCAGGGUCUGAAGUCACAGUGUUGACAGCGCCGUGCUCCCCUGACUCUGGACAGAGCGCUUCCCUUCACCUUAUCCAGCUUCGAGAGCUGCGUUCCUUGCCUGUCUUGGCUCGGGGCUCCUUCCUCCUUCUCCAAAGCCAGCAUCUUCCCAUCGGCUCCUUCUUUGCGCUGACUUCCCUGUAGCCCCUCUUGCUCCUUCUCCCUCUCAUGAGGACACCUGGGAUGGCAUCUGGUGCCCACCUGGAUAAUUUGGGGUCCUCUCCCCAUCUCAAGGUGUGUAGCUUCCUCAGACCCAUAGAGACCCUUUCUCCACUUCAAGUAGCUGCCCCUCACUCCGCCUUCUGGGGCGGCUGGGUGGCUCAGUCGGUUGAGCCUCUGACUCUUGAUUUCAGCUCAG